rnacentral:rRNA from 1 species
ACUGAAUAGAUACCCUGGUAGUCCAUGCUGUAAACGAUGAGAACUAGAUGUUAGGGGCAUGACCUCUUAGUAUCGAAGCUAACGCGAUAAGUUCUCCGCCUGGGGAGUACGGCCGCAAGGUUAAAACUCAAAGAAAUUGACGGGGGCCCGCACAAGCGGUGGAGCAUGUGGUUUAAUUCGAUGCAACGCGAAGAACCUUACCUACCUUUGAAUCCACGGAACCUAGCAGAGAUGUUGGGGUGCCUUCGGGAGCCGUGAGACAGGUGCUGCAUGGCUGUCGUCAGCUCGUGUCGUGAGAUGUUGGGUUAAAGUCCCGUAACGAGCGCAACCCUUGUCCUUAGUUGCCAUCA